UCCUGCAUUCCACUACUCAUACAGAGUGGAUGCAUAUAUACGUGAAGUGGUGGAAUACAGGAAUGAGUAACGCAGAUUUUCUUUCCAUCCCAGAUGCUCUCUAGUUUCUGAUCUUUUUCCAUCAAUUUUAAAAUAAAUAUAUUUGUUACUAGUUUCUGCACUUUUUACGAGUCGAAGUCUUGGCUUCCAAUGGGGCUAUAACUUCUAGAUGAAAGGCACCAUUUUACCAACUUAUUCAGUUCUGUUCUAUAAGGAGCCAUGAUAUAAUGUAUAGAAGAAACUUCUUGAAGCAAAUUAAGUCAUAACCAGGAUACUGUGCGGCGCGGUUGAGGUCUACAUCACAUCUCGAGUGACUGUCUUUUGUUCUUCUGAGUGACGGGUAUUUGUAAAAACGCGGACAAUAAAGUAAAAUGUAUAAUGCCAUUUUUAUUCAUACACAAACAGAAGUGUGUGUGUGCUGACAGAUUCAACAAAACGACCUUCAUGUGCUUGGUAUUCGUAUUUUCUUAAGUUGAACUAUCAAGACGUCGAUAAAAUAAAACUUUCUACAUGAGCAGAAAUUUCUUAACGGUAAAUGCUUAAUAUAAUAUAUACAACUUACAUAAAUCAAAACACGUGGAAUCUGAUAAGAUUAGCAUCAUAUGUCGCAGGUCUUGCCAUCUAUUGAUUGAUAUGCAUAUUGAAAAAUAAUAAACAA